CCCCCGGUAGCUCAGAGGACAGAGCGCCGCACUCCUAAGGCGGGCGUGGCAGGUUCGAGUCCUGCCCGGGGGA
rnacentral:tRNA from 1 species